rnacentral:lncRNA from 15 species
GCUGGGAAACUCUUUCAUUUUACCCUCUUUUGUUCUUUUUCAUCUCCCUGCCUUGCUUCAUUUUUCCCUCCUCUUUGCCUGUAAACAUCAAGGCCGGCUUUAUACUUCACGCUGCCUUUGCUUCGGGACAGCAGGUUUCUGUCUGUGGAAACUUCCAGUCUCUCCUACUGAAAGCCCGGUUAUAUCUGAUCAGCCUGUGUUCUGUCUCAGUUCACACGAGAUUUCUCGGUUCUAUAAUAAAACGACCAGUCGGCCAAUUAGGGUCUACCUUCUCUCGAUGGUCUCCCCGGACCUCCUUCAUUUCUACCCUCAGACGGAGAACAGCGGGGAGCGGAGCUGAUUGCCUUUAGGGCCCACUAGUUUUAGAGCAACCUACUUACCAGUGUCAGAGUGUCAGACUGUCUCAGUAUUCAGGUAAAGACACGAGCAAUUUAUUUUGCACAGAUUACAGUCUGCCUCAGCUCCCUCUUCACCCACUGUCUGUUUUUCUGCUGUUGGUCAUUUGUUUUCUUCACUUAUAGUCUCUCUGUUGUCUGAUGCUGCUAUUUGUAUCGCAGUGAAGGUACACACAGACACACAUAUUGUAUAUUGAAGAGGAAACCAACCUUGACCUCAGGUUUUGUUCUUGUUACAGUCGCUGUUUAAGUUUUUUCUCUGCUGCUUUAGAACAACGUGUUUUUAGAUUUGUGUCGCGCACUAUUAUCAGGUCAACAAUUAUAAUUUGUACAAUUCUUUGAUCAAAAUACAAGCAACAACUAAAACCUGCAGUUCCUCUAAUGUCCACUAGAGGCUGGCUCCAGCAGUCAGUCUCCAUAAAGCCCCAUAUUAAAUUGUCCAACUGUACAGCAGAAAUAAUUGUGUUUACAGCCUUUUGGUCUCUACAGUUAAUUUCAAAUCAGGCUUCAUUCAUUCAGAGUUUUGCUUUGUAGCAAAAUGCUAGCUAACUAGCUAAUCUACAUUCAUUGUAGCAACAUUUAUAUAGAUUAAUAACAAUUAACCCUAAUAUCUAAUCACUAGC